CCCUGGGUUGGGAAGAUCCCCUAGAGAAGGCAAUAGUUACCCACUCCAAUAUUCUUGCCUGGAGAAUUUCAUGGAUAGAGGAGCCUGGCGGGCUACCCACAGUACAUGGGGUUGCAAAGAGUAAGACACAACUGAAUGACAAACACUUUCAUUAACCAAAAGGAAAAGUAUCGGGUAUAAGAAAAAUGGGAAAUGGGGGGAUUCUGGCAACCUGAAGAGCUCAGGUUCCGACUUCAUCCUGUUGAUCCAGUUGUUGGGCAUCAGGUCUUAGAGUUUCAAAUACCUUUUUGUUCAUCUGCUCAUCAAACUUUAUACCUGUUUCAAGAUACUUGUACUUCUCUUAUGGCGCUUGUUACCAUCUUGUACUUUGAUUGUCGUUUGUGUACAUUUCUUACCUCUUCUAAACUGUUCAUCUGAGAGGGACUAACCAAAAGUUCAUGUCCUCCUUUUCAGAAGCUCUGAAAGCAUCCUCUCCUCUUUUUCCUCCUUUUUUUCUCUCUCACUUUUUGGCAGACCUGACUAGCAAAGCUGUCCUGGGGCACAGGCAUCUCUUGUCCUCAUUGUCUCUUUGGAAGAGACAUACACAUUCUUCCACUAUUUUCAGCCUUUUAAAGCCCCAUAUACUCCGCCUACUUGCGAUCAUAAUGAGCUUCGGCUGUGGAAUGGGGAAACAGGCUGGUAGGUGGCGUCAAUGAGUGUGGGUGAGAUUCUGCAGACCUAGAAUUUAUUUGAUUCUGCCCUGAAGUUUUUCAAAGCUUACUUUUCUACUGUUAUCCGUUCUGGAGUUUCUUUUCUUCUGGUAGGGUGAUCAGGAACAUAGAGAUCUGCUGUCAGAACCGACUUGAGAAUACAGAUCAAUUGAUUCCUUGCAGCCACUGUGAUGUGUAAAAGGAACAGUUGAAAGAGACAUGAUGUCAGCUCAUUACUUCUGCCCCACAGGCUGCAAACAGCCACAAAUAUGACAAGCCGGGUGAACAAGGGAGGGAGGAGGUCAGUAGUGACCUCAUCCCCCCACAGCUACUCAUUAUUCUAAUUAUUCUGAGGACCACAGCCACUUCUCAGUGUGAGACCACAGGUCCUCUUACUUCAGAACGUCCUGGGGUGAUUGUUAAAACUUUGCCUCCCAAACCUCCAGCCUAAGGACCCGUACUCCUGGGGUGGCUGUGACGCUGCAGCUUUAACAAGCUCCCCAGGCGGUGCUCAUGCUGUCUUCAUCCCCGGCCUACUGAACUACACACCCCUACCUUCGGGUCUCAGUAAAUCCUCCACGCUGCACUGCCGUCCACGGUCGCCAUCACAGCACAAGGACCAAGAACUUGGGUGAGGUCAGAGCCUGGCUUGGCCACAUACUGGCACCAGAAAAGUGGAGCAAGGCUACCACCAUCCUCACAGGACUAACCCGAAAGUUUAACCAAGGGAUAAAAAUGCUUCAAAGUUGACAACGGGGUGAUCAGGGACAGAAGAGCACAGCCACGCGGGAGAGAAGCUUCCAGUUCUCACAGGAGGCAAGGGCGACACUCAACAGCAGUUCAUGCUCUCAGGAACUUCGGGUUUUCAGUGCAAAGAUAAAACAAUCCUACUGACGGACCUGCUUGAAGAAGGCAGCCUCACUUCUCCUAAUUCUUGACUGCUGUUGUAAGGGGUUCCUUUUCCCCAAACAGUGGGACUUGUGACCUGACUUAGUGUAUGAUACUUUCCUAGUAUCCUUGGAAGUCGUUAAAACCUGUUACCCAAUUAACAGCCAUGCUCAUAAAUGCAUAUUUUCUUAAUAGGAAAAGCACAGGGCUUCCUUCAACAACAAUUAUAGUAUCAGUGGGUAACCUGUCUGGAGAGGCUUCCUAUGAUGCUGGACAUCAUUCUAAGCAGUUUUUUCUUGUUUUGCUACACCACUCUGCAUGUGGGAUCUUAGUUCCCCAACCAGGGAUUGAACCCAUGCCCCUUAUAUUUGAAGGGGGGGAAUCUUAACUGCUGGACCACCCUGGAAGUCCUUUAAGUCCUUAUCAAAAGUCAGUGCAGUGGGGACUAUCUUACAGAAGACAUAAUGGAGGCACAGAGAGGUUAAAUAAAUUGCCAAAAGCCACACAGCUCACCUCGAUCAUCACCUCUGUGUCCAGAGGCCUUCCUAAUGACAAUACAGGCAUCUCCAGAUAAGACUGUGGACUAGGAAACCCUUGCCCUCUCCUGGCCUGAUUUAUAGACCUGGCUGUGAGAGUUUGACAGCCCUGACGAACAGGGCUGCUGAGCACGCUGGUGGCCAGUUGGAAAAAUACACGAAGCCAGGGAGUGGAAGGAGGCCUGGCCGCCUGGUGGGCUCUGAGUCACAUAGGUCAGCGGGAGCUGGCCCACUCAGCCUGUCACCCUCAGCUGUCUCUCUGCUGCACACGGAGCCAGGGCUUGGAGAUGGGAACUGCGAUUUAUAAGCUCUCAGGCAAAAUCAACUUUCGGGUGAAGAAAACCCACAUACCCGAGGGUAAAUACAUAUGCCAUUCUUACUGCCAAGACCUGGUACAUCUGGAUUAUCCACAAAAUGGGAAAUUACCAAGCGGUAUGCCCAUUUGUGAAGUAAGACACUCAAGCCAAAACAACCCUCAGAUUCUUUCCCCAGGUAGGUUAUUACAGAAUAUUGAGUGGAGUUCCCUGUGUUAUACACUGCUGCUGCUGCUAAGUUGCUUCAGUCGUGUCCGACUCUGUGUGACCCCAUAGACGGCAACCCACCAGGCUCCCCCAUCCCUGGGAUUCUCCAGGCAAGAACACUGGAGUGGGUUGCCAUUGCCUGCUCCAGUGCAUGAAAAUGAAAAGUGAAAGUGAAGUUGCUCAGUCAUGUCCGACUCUUCUCGACCCCAUGGACUGAAGCCUACCAGGCUCCUACAUCCAUGGGAUUUCCAGGCAAGAGUACUGGAGUGGGGUGCCAUUGCCUUCUCCGAUAAAUUUACUUAGGUCCCAUUUAUUUUUGUUUUUAUUGUUAUUUCUCUAG
ensembl:lncRNA